AGGCUCCCCGCCCUCCAGAGACCCUAACCGCAUUCGCGCGAGAAGGGUGUUCUCUUCGCCGCUUCUUCUGCCAGAGUGUGGCUGGCGAAGGCGGCGGCGCCCCGUCUCUCUCGGCCACCGCCCCAGCCCCCCGGUUCCCUUCCCUUCCCGCGGGGGAGAGCUUUCUCCGUUUCCUCGUUUCUCUGCCUGGUGGAGCCCGUCUUGCCCAAGGACCGGGGCCAGCCUUCUGCACGAGAAUUAUCUUCUCUGAUCCUGCACUUCGCAAG
rnacentral:lncRNA from 1 species